rnacentral:rRNA from 1 species
UACGUAGGUGGCAAGCGUUGUCCGGAUUUACUGGGCGUAAAGAGCGCGCAGGCGGUCGUUCAAGUCGCGUGUGAAAGCCCCCCGGCUCAACUGGGGAGGGUCACGCGAUACUGAUCGACUCGAAGGCAGGAGAGGGUAGUGGAAUUCCCGGUGUAGUGGUGAAAUGCGUAGAUAUCGGGAGGAACACCCGUGGCGAAAGCGACUUCCUCGGACCAAUACUGACGCUCAUGUGCGAAAGCGUGGGGAGCAAACAGG